AAAAUGUUGUUCCUGAAAUGACGAUGAUAAACUUUUAUGCUCAAACUACUAGAACCCAAGUAGCCUAUAAUCAAUGACCAUAUGAAUGAAUGCAAAUGUCUUAUUUUGUGUCGUGUUGUAUAUUUUCAUGAUAAUGCUCAACAACUGUUUACAACAGAUGUAAAAGAAGCCUUGAUGUUAAUCAGUAUGUGGUCUCCCUUUUCGUGGCGUUAAAAAAAAAAAAAAAGCUAUCACAAGAAGAUAACGUGCAAACCUCCGAGAGCAAACUAGUCCAUGAUAUAUCAGCCUGGUGUAAUCUUUCUAGCUGUACAGUCAGAGUGGGACAACACAUGGUUGCAUAUGCCCUUAAAAGGCAUUCGUCCGCGGUACUGAAACCGCAGCCCUCUGGCCGUGCACCACUCUCCUCACUUCGCUGGCCUACAGGUCACUGUGCGCGUGGAAAUAACUUGCGUGCGAGAGUGCAAGUAUGCGUGCGUGCGUUUCGGGGAUUUUCUUCGUAUAAUGAGCCAAUAAUUAGCAAUGUCAUUUCUGUGGUCUCAUCUAGGCUAUUGAGCGUGUCUUCACAAGGAUUUCACGGCCCCCCUUUCGGCCAUGCCGACUGGAACGAGAAAUAGCACUGAUGCGUGGGUCACCUCGACUCCUGAUGUUAUGAUGGACCUGUUACAAGCAACCAGAUGCAGGACCCUUCCCCAGACUAGGCUGGCCCCCUACCGCUGGACUGUCCAGGCUAACACGGAGGAAAGCGUUUCCAGGGAGCUGGACCCUUUGGUGCUAGCCAUCAGGAGGGGAGACAUGACGGCGUUAAAGGAGCUGUCUGUCAGCCACAGCCUGACGAGGGAGGGCCAAGACGGCUGGACGCCUUUACACGAGGCCGCCUUCUGUGGGGAGACGGAGGCUGUGAAGAUGAUCCUGAAGGCGUACCCGGCGUCGGUGGAUAAGCGGACGCUGCAGGAGCAGACGGCGCUGCUGCUGGCCUCCUCCGCCGAGCACCUGGCCUGUGUACGCAGUCUGCUGGAGGCCGGGGCUGACCCCGACAUCUGUGGGAAGAACAAAGACACACCCCUGUACAUCGCGUGCGAGCGAGAGAACGCGGACAUGGCGGACCUCCUGGUGCAGGCCGGCGCCUCGGUGAACCAGCGCUGCGCCCAGGGCUGGACGGCCCUGCACCAGGCCGUGUCCCGGGACAACACAGCGCUCUGCGACACGCUGCUCGCCGCGGGGGCCAACCUCAACCCCUCCAACACCCACAGCAUCACGCCCCUCAUCGUGGCCGCCCAGCAGGGCAGGCUGCGGGCCCUGGGCUUCCUCCUGGGGAAAGGAGCGGACGUGAACGUGGAGACAUGUGACGGCGUGACCGCUUUGCAUGAGGCCAGCAGGCACGGCCACCGGGAGGCGGCGGCCAUGCUGCUGGAGCGGAACGCAGACGCAAACAAACCCUGUGGUUCAGGGCUGCUACCACUGCACACCGCGGCGGAGCACGGGCACCAGGAGAUCGUCUCCCUGCUGGUCCCGGUCACCAGCCGUGCGCGGCUGCGGGGCAGCGGGAUCAGCCCCCUGCACCUGGCGGCCCACAACAACAGGCUGGCUGCCGCAGCUGUCCUGCUCCGGACCGGCGCCGACGUCAACGCCCCCCUGUCCCGCCAGCGCUGCGCCCAGCACCCCGACCAGCGCACCUCCCCCUUGUACUUUGCCGUCGACGGCGGAGCCACAGAGACGGUGGCGCUGCUGCUGAGGGCGGGCGCCAGCCUGACCCUGGACCCCGUCAGCCCCCUGCUGCUGGCCGCCCGGCGAGGCAGCCUGGGCGCCGUGGAGCUGCUGCUGGAGCACGGCGCCGACGCUAACGUCGGCGUGCCGUCGUACCCCACCCGCUUCCCCGGCGCGGUGGCGCUCUGUGCCGACGGCGAGGCCGUGCUCCGGUGCCUGCUGGAGCACGGCUGCGACGCCCGGGCCUGCUUCGGCUGUAGGUACGGCCCCGCCCCGCACCCUGCCUGCACCCCUCCGGCCCUCUCCAGGGGCAGGGAGAGCGGGCGGCUGUCUGCCGCCCCCCCGCACCGCUCUGGGAUACCUGCCCUGACCUGCAAGCAGUCCCCCGCCAACGGCACACAGCUGGGCGUGACCGGGCUGGACCAAUCGUAGACCUGCUCCUGGAGUACGUGGGGAGCGUUCAGCUCUGCGCCCGGAUCACCGAACUGCUGGACAGCCGGGAAGACUGGGGCCCCGUCAGACACAAGACUCUGUCGCCUCGUCCUCUACUGCAUCUGAGCAGGAUCAGGAUUCGGGAACAGAUAGGAACUCACCGGCUGGGGUCUCUCCAGAGUCUCCCUCUGCCAGACAGACUCCUCCACUACCUUGGUCCCAGUGGUCUUCAGGAACCUCGGCUCAGUUCCCCGACUAUUACUGAGUCUCAACUGAAAUGAAUGUAGAUGUGUGAUGGUUUUGGUUUGUUUAUAUGUGCAACGGUGGCCGUUUAGCUUGUUCCAGUGUGCACAAGGGCCUGAUGAUACUGUGUAUUAUACUCACUAUAUAUCAUGUUAAUAUGUUUGGGUUGUACAACUAGGGGUGCCAAUGUUUGCUUGAAUCAGACUAUUUAAGUUUAAGUUAAGUGUGUCUGUAUUGAAGGAGUGCAUGUGUUUGUUAACGAAUGAAUCUUCUGAAGACAGGAGUUAAGAAAGGUUAUAACACUUUAUUUGGAAAUCACAGCUACUGUUUAAAAAGGUCAACAUUAUUUGGACAAAAAGUUUUCGUCUCUUAAUUAAAACAAAAUUGGAACAUUUAAA